AUACGGAGGGGGCAAGCGUUGUUCGGAAUUACUGGGCGUAAAGGGCGCGUAGGCGGAUUAUCAAGUCAGAGGUGAAAGCCCUGGGCUCAACCUGGGAACUGCCUUUGAAACUGAUAGUCUUGAGUCCGAGAGAGGAUGGCGGAAUUCCCAGUGUAGAGGUGAAAUUCGUAGAUAUUGGGAAGAACACCAGUGGCGAAGGCGGCCAUCUGGCUCGGUACUGACGCUGAGGCGCGAAAGCGUGGGGAGCAAACAGGAUUAGAAACCCCGGUAGUCC
rnacentral:rRNA from 1 species